UACGGAGGGUGCAAGCGUUGUCCGGAUUUAUUGGGUUUAAAGGGUGCGUAGGCGGUUAAUUAAGUCAGUGGUGAAAUCCUGGAGCUCAACUUCAUAACUGCCAUUGAUACUGGUUGACUUGAGUACAGACGAGGUUGGCGGAAUUGAUGGUGUAGCGGUGAAAUGCAUAGAUACCAUCAAGAACACCGAUUGCGAAGGCAGCUAACUAGGCUGUAACUGACGCUGAGGCACGAAAGUGUGGGGAUCAAACAGG
rnacentral:rRNA from 1 species